UUGAAUUACUUGGGGGGCUGGAUGCUGGCAGUCAAUGAUUGCAUGUGCUCGCUCUUUAAUCCACUUACACAUGUGCACUUGAAUUUUUGAGGAUGGGGUAGGACCUGUCUUUGAAACUUUAUUUAAACUCUUACUUGGUGUAAUGGAUGUUUUUAUCUGCCAAAGGGUGAAAUUUAAUA
rnacentral:misc_RNA from 1 species